ensembl:lncRNA
GUAACUAUCUUUUUAUUUUUCGUUUUUGUCUAAAUUAUAUUGAAAUGUUUCAUUAUUGGAAACAUUUUAAGAGGAACUUAUUAUUGUUAACAUCUUAACAGAUACUCUGACCCGUAACUCUCGUAAAACGCUUCGACCGGAAGUAGACACCUUUCGCGCAUGCGGGGUACUUAUCGGGUUUCCGGUACGGAUCGGGCAGUGACACUGCUUAUACGCGAAACGGGAGUAAACCAUUGAACUUAGAGGAGAGAGACGAACUAAAGUAUCGAUCAUAUACCACUACCAACGUUUGGAUCGAUAUCUGCAUCGAUCUGCCCAGCAGUAAAAUAUCUCCACACGAUUCUCCUCCAUCUGGGCUUUCCCCCAUCUCUGUAGUCCAAAUGUAGUUUCAAAGUCACGUGACCGCACAGCAACGAUUUAAAGCAGACCAGGCAGAAGGGGGCGGAGCAAAGUAGCAGAGUAGUCGAGCAGAAAGAGCUGCUUUUUUCAUGAAGCGGGAGUGAAGUAGUGACCUUAGAGGAAAGAAAAAAACUGAAGUAUCGAUCAUAUACCACUACCAACGUUUGGAUCGAUACGUGCAUCGAUCUGCCCACCCUUGUCUCCUGGAUCGUAGCUGAGAUCAGCGUGAACCACGUGGGUCUCUGCUCCCUGAUCUGUUUCCUGUGUUUGGAAAGAGUUCCAGCUUCAUCACGGAGUUUCUCUCGGUUUGUGGGCUCAUCUAAAGCUUAUCACACAUUUGAUUUCCAUGUGUGACGACUGCAAGUGUCCAGAGUGAGGACAGACUGAGGGACCCACUGCUGCACAUCAUCUGUGAGGCUUUGCACCCCUGAUGAUCCACCAGGACAAACUCAGCAGUGUGUGAGGAAGAGGAGGAGGAAGAGCCAGCAGCAGCUGACAGAUGGAGAGAAUAGACAGACUGUUCCCUGUUUGUGAAGGACUGCUAGGAAAGUUUAACAUAACUAAUUGUCUGUCCUGAAUCAGUCUUAUUAGGUAAUGUUCAAAUAAUGCUAUCAUCCCAGUGUUUUCAGUGUGGGAGAAAGUACUCAGGGCUUUCAAGUUACACACUAUGAAAGGCAGCAACAAGUUUAAUAUCCAGAAACCUAAAGUAUGUAUCAGCAGCAGAAUGGAGCUAAAAAUAAAUGUUUGUUUCAGUUCUAUGAAGCUUUGAGUAUUUUGGAUUAGUAGCACUGCUGUGUUUGUUGCAUCAUAUUGCUGUAAUUGUUUAUAUGCUUUAUAUAUUCUGAGGUAAGUUGAUCUAUAGUGUUACAUCAUAUUCUAUAAGGAUGUUAUGUGUUUGUAGACUUUCUGCCCAGUUUGACCCAUUUAGCAGAAGUCAGCCUGUUUAAGGCUCUGAUAUCUAUUCUGUAUGACUUAAAGCAGUUAUGACAUGGUCUGAUUUUCUCACCCAAUAAAGGAAUAUUUCAUAUAUCAGUCUGAUCUUCAUUCUAUCAGAAACAGUUAUCACAACUCGUACAUUUUCUUUUUACACAUAUAUGUAAGCAUUGAGCCAAAUUUAGUAAUGCCAAC